GAGACCCACGCCAACAGUUGCCAGCACGUUCUCCGGAAUGGUGGGGACACUGUUGGGACCGCCUCUGCUAAAGAGGAGGAAGGAAUGGGCAACGGUAGGUCAGCAUGCCCCGAAUUACCCGGGCUACACGCGGGCUACAAUGGACAGGACAAUGGGAAUCGACACCGAGAGGUGAAGGCAAUCCCCUAAACCUGCCCUUAGUUCGGAUUGUGGGCUGCAACUCGCCCACAUGAAGCUGGAAUCCGUAGUAAUCGCGGAUCAGCAUUCCGCGGUGAAUAU
rnacentral:rRNA from 1 species